rnacentral:ncRNA from 1 species
GUAACUCACCAGACCAAGCCGCCGCACCCUAAAAACGGCGGCACCACUUCGACGAAGAAGGA